UACGUAGGAUGCAAGCGUUGUCCGGAAUUAUUGGGCGUAAAGAGCGCGCAGGCGGUAUGACAAGUCAGAUGUGAAAGAGGCCGGCUUAACCGGCAAGGGUCAUUUGAAACUGAUCAGACUAGAGUGCAGCAGAGGAUAAGUGGAAUUCCCGGUGUAGUGGUGAAAUGCGUAGAUAUCGGGAGGAACACCAGGUGGCGAAGGCGACUAUCUGGGCUGCAACUGACGGCUGAGGCGCGAAGGCUAGGGUAGCAAACAGG
rnacentral:rRNA from 1 species